rnacentral:rRNA from 1 species
GAUGAACGCUGGCGGCGUGCUUAACACAUGCAAGUCGAGCGAAAAGACGACGAUCUUGCUCCUCUCACGUUAGCGGCGGGCGGGUGAGUAACCCGAGGAUACCCUACCUAUAAGACUGGGAUAACUACGGGAAUCCGGAUCUAACACACGAUCAUAUAUUGAAACGCGUGGUUCAAUAGUGAAAGACGGCUUUGAUGGCACUAAUAGAUGGUUCCACGCCGCAUUAGUUAGUUGGUAGGGUAACGGCGUACCAAGGCGACGCUGGGUAGCCGACCUGAGAGGGUGAUCGGCCACACUGGAACUGAGACACGGUCCAGACUCCUACGGGAGGCAGCAGUGGGGAAUUUUCGGCAAUGGGCGAAAGCCUGACGCAGCAACGCCGCGUGAGUGAUGAAGGUCUUCGGGUCGUAAAGCUCUGUUAUUAGGGAAGAACAGAUGUGUAAGUAACUAGGCAGGUCUUGACGGUACCUGAUCAAGAAGCCACGGCUAACUACGUG